rnacentral:rRNA from 1 species
CGAACGCUGGCGGCGUGCUUAACACAUGCACGUCGAACGGAAAGGCCCUGCUUUUGUGGGGUGCUCGAGUGGCGAACGGGUGAGUAACACGUGAGUAACCUGCCCUUGACUUUGGGAUAACUUCAGGAAACAGGGGCUAAUACCGGAUAGGAGCUCCUGCUGCAUGGUGGGGGUUGGAAAGUUUCGGCGGUUGGGGAUGGACUCGCGGCUUAUCAGCUUGUUGGUGGGGUAGUGGCUUACCAAGGCUUUGACGGGUAGCCGGCCUGAGAGGGUGACCGGCCACAUUGGGACUGAGAUACGGCCCAGACUCCUACGGGAGGCAGCAGUGGGGAAUAUUGCACAAUGGGCGGAAGCCUGAUACAGCAACGCCGCGUGCGGGAUGACGGCCUUCGGGUUGUAAACCGCUUUCGCCUGUGACGAAGCGUGAGUGACGGUAAUGGGUAAAGAAGCACCGGCUAACUACGUG